rnacentral:rRNA from 1 species
UACGGGGCGCAGCAGGUGCGAAAAUUCCGCAAUGCGUGCAAGCGCGACGGAGUGACCCCCAGUGCCGAUGGUCUAACGAUCGUCGGCUUUUCUGGAGUGUAAAAAGCUCUGGGUAAUAAGGGCCGGGUAAGACUGGUGCCAGCCGCCGCGGUAACACCAGCGGCUCAAGUGGUAGUCGAUUUUAUUGGGUCUAAAGCGUCCGUAGCCGGAUCGUCAAGUCCCUUGUGAAAUCGGGCGGCUUAACCGCUCGGCUUGCAAGAGAAACUGACGUUCUUGGGGUCGGCAGGCGCCGAGGGUACUCCGGAGGUAGCGGUGAAAUGCUAUAAUCUUCGGGGGACCGCCGGUGGCGAAAGCGCUCGGCGGGGCCGAACCCGACGGUGAGGGACGAAGGCCAGGGGAGCGAACCGGAUUAGAUACCCGGGUAGUCCUGGCUGUAAAGUAUGUGGGCCAGGUGCCAGACGUUCCUCGAGAGCGCUUGGUGCCGAAGGGAAGCCGUUAAGCCCACCACCUGGGGAGUACGGUCGCAAGACUGAAACUUAAAGAAAUUGGCGGGGGAGCACCACAAGGGGUGGAGCCUGCGGUUUAAUUGGAUUCAACGCCGGACAUCUCACCGGGGGCGACGGCAGAGUGAAGGCCAAGUUGACGACUUUGCCGGACUCGCCGAGAGGUGGUGCAUGGCCGCCGUCAGCUCGUAUCGUGAGACGUCCUGUCAAGUCAGGUAACGAGCGAGACCCUUAUCCUUAGUUGCCAGCGGAUCCCUCUGGGAUGCCGGGCACUCUAAGGAGACCGCUGUCGAUAAGGCAGAGGAAGGAGAGGGCGACGGUAGGUCCGUAUGCCCCGAAUCCCCCGGGCAACACGCGGGCUACAAUGCGCGGGACAGAGGGCUGCGACCCCGAGAGGGGAAGCCGAUCCCUAAACCUGCGCCUAGUUCGGAUCGAGGGCUGCAACUCGCCCUCGUGAAGCUGGAAUCCCUAGUAAUCGCGUGUCACUAUCGCGCGGUGAAUACGUCCCUGCUCCUUGCACACACCGCCCGUCAAGCCAUCCGAGUGGGAUUUGGAUGAGGCUUACUCGACAUGAGUGGGUCAAAUCCGGGUUCUGCAAGGAGGGCUAAGUCGUAACAAGGUAAC